AUUCACAGUUCAAAAAACAUAUUAAUCUUAUAGUGGCCCUUUAUGCAGCUGCUCAGUUCAGUCUUUUACAGGCUGCUUUGGACCCCCGAACCAACAACGCUGUUAUAUUGCAGCGUUUUCGCUUGUGAUGUAACUCUGUUCUUCUCAAUCAAGCUUCAAUAAACUUUACAGCAUCAGA